CUAUUUGUUGAAUGUGCUGAUUUAAAUUGUGCAACUCCUGAAUCAUUAAAUCAUGCUGAGAACGCAAUUGCGAAAGAACAUUCAAAGCAUAAUUGCGUUUAUCUACAUUUGAUCCCUGAACUUCAGGAGGAAACUGCAAAGAAACCGGCGAGGUAGAGGAUUGGAUUAAAGGAGCUUGCUGAGAUUGCGAAGGUGAAACUUCUGAUUU